GAUGAACGCUGGCGGCGUGCCUAAUACAUGCAAGUCGAGCGAACAGAUGAUGAGCUUGCUCCUCUGACGUGAGCGGCGGACGGGUGUGUAACACGUGUAUAAUCUACCUAUAAGUCUGGGAUAACUUCGGGAAACCGGAUCUAAUACCGUAUAAUAUAUUGAACCGCAUGGUUCAAUAGUGAGAGACGGUUUUGCUGUCACUUAUAGAUGGAUCUGGGCCGCAUUAGAUAGUUGGUAAGUUAACGGCUUUUCAAGGGGACGAUGCGUAGCCGAACUGAGAGGGUGAUAGGCCACACUAGAACUGAGACAGGGUCAAGACGACUACGGGAGGGAGCAGUAGGCAAUGGGACGCAGUGGGCGGGAGCAUGGCGGAAUAGGGGGGCGUGAGAGAUGACGGUCUUGGGAUCGUAAAACUCUGUUAUUAGGGAAAAACCAAUGUCUAAGUAAAUAUGCACGUAUUGACGGUAAUGAGUAAGAAAGCAACGGCUAACUACGUG
rnacentral:rRNA from 1 species